rnacentral:misc_RNA from 1 species
UACGAACCGUCCAAACGUUAUUCGGAUUUAUUGGGCUUAAAGGGUAUGUAGGCGGCCCUGCAAGUCGGGUGUGAAAUCCCUCGGCUCAACCGAGGAACUGCGCCCGAUACUGCAGGGCUUGAGGGAGACAGAGGUAAGCGGAACUGAUGGUGGAGCGGUGAAAUGCGUUGAUAUCAUCAGGAACACCAGUGGCGAAAGCGGCUUACUGGGUCUCUUCUGACGCUGAGAUACGAAAGCUAGGGGAGCGAACGGG